UGUGUGUGUGUGUGUGUGUGUGUGUGUGUGUGUGUGUGUGUGUGUGUGUGUGUGUGUAUGUAUGUGUGUGUGUAUGUGUGUGUGCAGGGUGAGAUCCUCUUAAGGUGCUGCAGAGUAUGAGGAGAGACAAGACUGUCAUGGUCCUGGUCAUCCUCAGCACCAGUGAUACUAUACUGUCAUGGAGGACCACAAAGAGGUGACACAUCAGCAGAUCGCUCAGCAGUCGGAGGGGAUCUGUUUGCACGUGAUCAGUCUGGUGUUACAGAGACAAGUUUCUACAUCCAACAAAAUGUUUUCAAACCUCCUCCCCCUCCACGCCCCAACCCGUUGCCUCAGGUCUGCCGGCACCAACACUCUGAAGACCAUCAGGACUAAGCACCGGACCUGGGGUGACAGGGCCUUCUCAGCUGCUGCACCCUCCCUCUGGAACGCCCUCCCAUCCACAUCCAACAGGCUCCCACCAUUGCAUCUUUUAAACAAACCCUCAAAACUCACCUCUUC